rnacentral:rRNA from 1 species
GAUGAACGCUAGCGGCAGGCCUAAUACAUGCAAGACGAACGGUAAGUUGAGUAGCAAUACUUAGCCAAGAGUGUCGUACGGGUGCGUAACACGUAUGCAACCUACCCUAUACAGGAGGAUAGCCUAGGGAAACCUGGAUUAACCCUUCAUAGUAUUAUUGGAUGGCAUCAUUUGAUAAUUAAAACUGAGGUGGUAUAGGAUGGGCAUGCGUCUGAUUAGUUAGUUGGCGGGGUAAUGGCCCACCAAGACGAUGAUCAGUAGGGGUUCUGAGAGGAAGAUCCCCCACACUGGCACUGAGAUACGGGCCAGACUCCUACGGGAGCAGCAGUAGGGAAUAUUGGUCAAUGGAUGCAAGUCUGAACCAGCCAUGCCGCGUGCAGGAAGAAGGCCUUUCUGGGGUUGUAAACUGCUUUUGCCAGGGGAUAAAAUCUCCAUGCGUGGAAAACUGAAGGUACCUGGUGAAUAAGCCACGGCUAACUACGUGCCAGCAGCCGCGGUAA